rnacentral:rRNA from 1 species
UUAAGCGACUAAGCGUACACGGUGGAUGCCCUGGCAGUCAGAGGCGAUGAAGGACGUGCUAAUCUGCGAUAAGCGUCGGUAAGGUGAUAUGAACCGUUAUAACCGGCGAUUUCCGAAUGGGGAAACCCAGUGUGUUUCGACACACUAUCAUUAACUGAAUCCAUAGGUUAAUGAGGCGAACCGGGGGAACUGAAACAUCUAAGUACCCCGAGGAAAAGAAAUCAACCGAGAUUCCCCCAGUAGCGGCGAGCGAACGGGGAGGAGCCCAGAGCCUGAAUCAGUGUGUGUGUUAGUGGAAGCGUCUGGAAAGGCGCGCGAUACAGGGUGACAGCCCCGUACACAAAAAUGCACAUGCUGUGAGCUCGAUGAGUAGGGCGGGACACGUGGUAUCCUGUCUGAAUAUGGGGGGACCAUCCUCCAAGGCUAAAUACUCCUGACUGACCGAUAGUGAACCAGUACCGUGAGGGAAAGGCGAAAAGAACCCCGGCGAGGGGAGUGAAAAAGAACCUGAAACCGUGUACGUACAAGCAGUGGGAGCCUCUUUUAUGGGGUGACUGCGUACCUUUUGUAUAAUGGGUCAGCGACUUAUAUUCUGUAGCAAGGUUAACCGAAUAGGGGAGCCGAAGGGAAACCGAGUCUUAACUGGGCGUUAAGUUGCAGGGUAUAGACCCGAAACCCGGUGAUCUAGCCAUGGGCAGGUUGAAGGUUGGGUAACACUAACUGGAGGACCGAACCGACUAAUGUUGAAAAAUUAGCGGAUGACUUGUGGCUGGGGGUGAAAGGCCAAUCAAACCGGGAGAUAGCUGGUUCUCCCCGAAAGCUAUUUAGGUAGCGCCUCGUGAAUUCAUCUCCGGGGGUAGAGCACUGUUUCGGCAAGGGGGUCAUCCCGACUUACCAACCCGAUGCAAACUGCGAAUACCGGAGAAUGUUAUCACGGGAGACACACGGCGGGUGCUAACGUCCGUCGUGAAGAGGGAAACAACCCAGACCGCCAGCUAAGGUCCCAAAGUCAUGGUUAAGUGGGAAACGAUGUGGGAAGGCCCAGACAGCCAGGAUGUUGGCUUAGAAGCAGCCAUCAUUUAAAGAAAGCGUAAUAGCUCACUGGUCGAGUCGGCCUGCGCGGAAGAUGUAACGGGGCUAAACCAUGCACCGAAGCUGCGGCAGCGACACUGUGUGUUGUUGGGUAGGGGAGCGUUCUGUAAGCCUGUGAAGGUGUACUGUGAGGUAUGCUGGAGGUAUCAGAAGUGCGAAUGCUGACAUAAGUAACGAUAAAGCGGGUGAAAAGCCCGCUCGCCGGAAGACCAAGGGUUCCUGUCCAACGUUAAUCGGGGCAGGGUGAGUCGACCCCUAAGGCGAGGCCGAAAGGCGUAGUCGAUGGGAAACAGGUUAAUAUUCCUGUACUUGGUGUUACUGCGAAGGGGGGACGGAGAAGGCUAUGUUGGCCGGGCGACGGUUGUCCCGGUUUAAGCGUGUAGGCUGGUUUUCCAGGCAAAUCCGGAAAAUCAAGGCUGAGGCGUGAUGACGAGGCACUACGGUGCUGAAGCAACAAAUGCCCUGCUUCCAGGAAAAGCCUCUAAGCAUCAGGUAACAUCAAAUCGUACCCCAAACCGACACAGGUGGUCAGGUAGAGAAUACCAAGGCGCUUGAGAGAACUCGGGUGAAGGAACUAGGCAAAAUGGUGCCGUAACUUCGGGAGAAGGCACGCUGAUAUGUAGGUGAAGCGACUUGCUCGUGGAGCUGAAAUCAGUCGAAGAUACCAGCUGGCUGCAACUGUUUAUUAAAAACACAGCACUGUGCAAACACGAAAGUGGACGUAUACGGUGUGACGCCUGCCCGGUGCCGGAAGGUUAAUUGAUGGGGUUAGCGCAAGCGAAGCUCUUGAUCGAAGCCCCGGUAAACGGCGGCCGUAACUAUAACGGUCCUAAGGUAGCGAAAUUCCUUGUCGGGUAAGUUCCGACCUGCACGAAUGGCGUAAUGAUGGCCAGGCUGUCUCCACCCGAGACUCAGUGAAAUUGAACUCGCUGUGAAGAUGCAGUGUACCCGCGGCAAGACGGAAAGACCCCGUGAACCUUUACUAUAGCUUGACACUGAACAUUGAGCCUUGAUGUGUAGGAUAGGUGGGAGGCUUAGAAGUGUGGACGCCAGUCUGCAUGGAGCCGACCUUGAAAUACCACCCUUUAAUGUUUGAUGUUCUAACGUUGACCCGUGAUCCGGGUUGCGGACAGUGUCUGGUGGGUAGUUUGACUGGGGCGGUCUCCUCCUAAAGAGUAACGGAGGAGCACGAAGGUUGGCUAAUCCUGGUCGGACAUCAGGAGGUUAGUGCAAUGGCAUAAGCCAGCUUGACUGCGAGCGUGACGGCGCGAGCAGGUGCGAAAGCAGGUCAUAGUGAUCCGGUGGUUCUGAAUGGAAGGGCCAUCGCUCAACGGAUAAAAGGUACUCCGGGGAUAACAGGCUGAUACCGCCCAAGAGUUCAUAUCGACGGCGGUGUUUGGCACCUCGAUGUCGGCUCAUCACAUCCUGGGGCUGAAGUAGGUCCCAAGGGUAUGGCUGUUCGCCAUUUAAAGUGGUACGCGAGCUGGGUUUAGAACGUCGUGAGACAGUUCGGUCCCUAUCUGCCGUGGGCGCUGGAGAACUGAGGGGGGCUGCUCCUAGUACGAGAGGACCGGAGUGGACGCAUCACUGGUGUUCGGGUUGUCAUGCCAAUGGCACUGCCCGGUAGCUAAAUGCGGAAGAGAUAAGUGCUGAAAGCAUCUAAGCACGAAACUUGCCCCGAGAUGAGUUCUCCCUGACCCUUUAAGGGUCCUGAAGGAACGUUGAAGACGACGACGUUGAUAGGCCGGGUGUGUAAGCGCAGCGAUGCGUUGAGCUAACCGGUACUAAUGAACCGUGAGGCUUAACCUU